AUUGAACGCUGGCGGCAGGCUUAACACAUGCAAGUCGAGCGGAGAUGAGGUGCUUGCACCUUAUCUUAGCGGCGGACGGGUGAGUAAUGCUUAGGAAUCUGCCUAUUAGUGGGGGACAACAUUCCGAAAGGAAUGCUAAUACCGCAUACGCCCUACGGGGGAAAGCAGGGGAUCUGCGGACCUUGCGCCAAUAGAUGAGCCUAAGUCGGAUUAGCUAGUUGGUGGGGUAAAGGCCUACCAAGGCGACGAUCUGUAGCGGGUCUGAGAGGAUGAUCCGCCACACUGGGACUGAGACACGGCCCAGACUCCUACGGGAGGUAGCAGUGGGGAAUAUUGGACAAUGGGCGGAAGCCUGAUCCAGCCAUGCCGCGUGUGUGAAGAAGGCCUUUUGGUUGUAAAGCACUUUAAGCGAGGAGGAGGCUACCUGGAUUAAUACUCUAGGAUGGUGGACGUUACUCGCAGAAUAAGCACCGGCUAACUCUGUGCCAGCCGCCGCCGUAACAC
rnacentral:rRNA from 1 species